rnacentral:rRNA from 1 species
CCUACGGGUGGCAGCAGUGGGGAAUAUUGCACAAUGGGGGAAACCCUGAUGCAGCGACGCCGCGUGAGUGAAGAAGUAUUUCGGUAUGUAAAGCUCUAUCAGCAGGGAAGAAGAAAGACGGUAUCUGACUAAGAAGCCCCGGCUAACUACGUGCCAGCAGCCGCGGUAAUACGUAGGGGGCAAGUGUUAUCCGGAUUGACUGGGUGUAAAGGGAGCGUAGACGGCUGUGCAAGUCUGAAGUGAAAGGCCAGGGCUCAACCCUGGGACUGCAUUGGAAACUGUGGAGCUAGAGUGCUGGAGGGGUAAGUGGAAUGCCUGGUGUAGCAGUGAAAUGCGUAGAUAUUGAGAGGAACACCAGUGGCGAAGGCGGCUUACUGGACAGUAACUGACGUUGAGGCUCGAAGGCGUGGGGAGCGAACGGGAUUAGAUACCCGUGUAGUC